UGGAAAAGGGGUUAUUGACUGUGCCCCAUUCGUCAAUACGGUUCUUAGUUUAACCAUGCAGAAAGUGGAAGCAAUCAAUGGUUUUAGAGCCUCUGAACUCAUCCUUAUGGCCGUUUCUUCGUUAUAGGAAUUUAAGAGUUACAAAGAGAUUUUCUGAAUGCUAGCAAGAGCAAUUAAGCAGAAAGCUUGCAGAUAGAGACACACCACAUGCUAAACAACUAGCUUGCCAAGACAAUAAGUGAGAAAGAAAUCGCCUGGCUGAAUAUGAAAAAAAAAAAAGAAGAAAAAACAAGCAUGCAAUGGGGAAAAGAGUACAGAAAUUCAUGACUUGACUUGGUCACUCAGUGCGUUGCUGUAUACAGAGGAAUGGCAAAACAACAGAACAACUAUGCCUGUGCAUUCUUUCUUUAAGCAACCUUGCUGCACAGGAAGCACAACUGGUCCCCAUUUUUGUAGUCGCCAUAGAAGCAUGUCUGUGGCACACCAUCGAACAACAGCCAGUGACAACAUAAACUAGAGACAGAGUGUCGGUCACAGGGCAGCCACUGAUUGCAUCUUCUCAUAAAUCAUUGUUCAGAAAGCCAAGCUACUGCUUGUAUCAUCAACAUAAAUUGAAAUGCAAGCAGAAGAUCAGGUCACCUGUUACGCAUAAUUACAUGCAAGUGCAGUAGCUCUGUAAGCUUUCGUAAGUAUGGAGCAGUCCCAAGUGUAUGCUUUGGAUCAAACCACUGUUACAAAUGCAGGUGAAGCUGCAUACACAACAAUGCAUUCAUUUUGUUUCGGAAUUGUUCACAUUUCUUGCCCAAUUUGCAAUCCUAAUAGGUUUGAAUUUAUGUUAACAUUGCAUUUCAACAGUACUUCAGCUAAGUUCAAAAGCAGCAGUGCAGAUUAACUGCAUCUAAGAGUUCUUGAGUGCUGCCGCAUAAUGAGCACAGCCUUUCCCUCUCUUAGUGGCUAAGCUUCCCGUGUAAAAAAUUCUCUCUCAGCACCACACAACUGCGAUGAACAGUGGGAUGAUGACACUCAACCCUAACAAAUACUGGGCAGGCCCUACCUUGGGCCCACAGCUGCCAUGAGACACGGGGCCACAGAGGUGGUCGUUCACAGUCAGGAAGGGGCGCACCUCCUGCCACUUCUGCUGGUCGUCACCACCUGGUUCCACCUCACUGCGGCAAAAAAAGCAGCUGUGGCUUCAGGGAAAGCACGAGCUCGAAGCUCCCAGUCUGAACUGCAUAGCAGUUGCCGCAAGAACUGUCACUGUCGACAACUGACCCGUUUGCAAGCCAAGUGGUGCAGAGGAUCCCCCUUCCCGGUGGCAGCUCCUCCUACGCAGGCUUUGUCAUGGGAAGGUGCUCAAACAACCGUCUGCGCACUCACAAUAAAAAUAAUCAAGUAGCCCACUCUUGGGUGCCACUAAUUGCAGCGCCAAAGUUCCCUCUUUGUGGGCCACCAGGCAAAUUGGCUCACCACGAGUUGCUCGAUGCCUGCUGCCGCCUCC